rnacentral:rRNA from 1 species
AUUCCAGCUCCAAUAGCGUAUACUAAAGUUGUUGCAGUUAAAAAGCUCGUAGUUGAAUUUCUGGUCGUGGCGAUCGGUCCGCCCCUCACGGGGUGUGCACCUGGUCUCUACGUCCAUCCUCGGGGAGAGCGCGUCUGGCAUUCAGUUGUCGAGCGCGGGAUCCUCGUCAUUUACUGUGAGCAAAAUAGAGUGUUCAAAGCAGGCUUAGGCCGUUGAAUACAUUAGCAUGGAAUAAUAAGAUAGGACCUUGGUCUAUUUUGUUGGUUUGCAUUCCAAGGUAAUGAUAAAUAGGGAUAGUUGGGGGUAUUCGUAUUCAAUUGUCAGAGGUGAAAUUCUUGGAUUUAUGGAAGACGAACUACUGCGAAAGCAUUUACCAAGGAUGUUUUCAUUA